rnacentral:rRNA from 1 species
AGAGUUAAAUAGUACGUGAAAUUGUUGAAAGGGAAACGAUUGAAGUCAGUCAUGUUGGUAGGGAAUCAACUUGAUAGUAUGCGGGUUUACUCGUAUUCUUUCGGGUGCACUUCCUUACUUGCAGGUUAGCAUCAAUUUUGGUUAUCAUAUAAAAAUUGAGGGAAGGUGGCUUUUCUUCGGAAAAGUGUUAUAGACCUUGAUAAAUGUGGUGACUGGGAUUGAGGUUUGCAGCGGAUACCCUUUAGGGCUAGUCACCUGACUUCUGACGGUUACCCUGUCUUCGAUAGCAUGCUAAAGUUGAUGGUCAAUAGGUUAGAAUGGGUUAAAUUCGUUAAGGAUGUUGACGUAAUGGCUUUAAACGACC